AACCGCAAAGGGCUCAGUAAACCAGUUUUAAUUUACUAGAGUUUUUACGUUUUGUACGUGGAUACCUGUGGUAAUUCUAGAGCUAAUACAUGCAAUAAAGUCCGGACCAGAAAUGGAAAGGACGCUUUUAUUAGAUCAAAACCAUUCGCCCAACUUGUUUGGGCGUUAUUUUGAUGACUCUAGAUAACACAUGUGAUCGUACAGUCUUGAACUGACGACGUCUCUUUCAAACGCCUGACUUAUCAGCUGUCGAUGGUAGACUUUGUGUCUACCAUGGCCCUCACGGGUAACGGGGAAUCAGGGUUCGAUUCCGGAGAGGGAGCCUGAGAAACGGCUACCACAUCCAAGGAAGGCAGCAGGCACGCAAAUUACCCACUCCCGGCACGGGGAGGUAGUGACAAAAAAUAACGAUACGGGACUCUAUUGAGGCCCCGUAAUCGGAAUGAGUACACUUUAAAUCCUUUAACAAGGAUCCAUUGGAGGGCAAGUCUGGUGCCAGCAGCCGCGGUAAUUCCAGCUCCAAUAGCGUAUAUUAAAGUUGUUGCGGUUAAAAAGCUCGUAGUUGGUUCUGCGUGCCGCGCUGUCGGUUCGCCGCCUGUCGGUGUAACUGGCAUGUCGUAGCAUGUCCUGUCGGUGGUGAACAAGAUUGCCUAGCUAUGAAGUUUGUUUCAAUGCAGGCCGGAUUAGCUGUGAAGUAAUUUUGUUUGCCGAUCUCUCCUGCUCCGGUGCUCUUAAACGAGUGUCGAGGUAGGCCGACACAGUCACUUUGAACAAAUUAGAGUGCUUAAAGCAGGCUGAAAUAUCUGCCUGAAUAGUGGUGCAUGGAAUGAUAAAAUAGGACCUCGGUUCUAUUUUGUUGGUUUUAGGAAGAUGAGGUAAUGAUCAAUGUGGACAGGCGGGGGCAUUCGU
rnacentral:rRNA from 1 species